AGUGGCGGACGGGUGAGUAACACGUAAGAAUUUGCCUCUAGGAGGGGGACAACAACUGGAAACGGUUGCUAAUACCCCAUAUGCUUUCGAGUGAAACGGAUUUUUCCGCCUAAAGAGAAGCUUGCGGCUGAUUAGCUUGUUGGUGAGGUAAUGGCUCACCAAGGCGACGAUCAGUAUCUGGUUUGAGAGGACGAUCAGACACACUGGAACUGAGACACGGUCCAGACUCCUACGGGAGGCAGCAGUGGGGAAUUUUCCGCAAUGGGCGAAAGCCUGACGGAGCAAUACCGCGUAAGGGAUGACGGCCUAUGGGUUGUAAACCUCUUUUUUCAGGGAGGAAUCAAAUGACGUGUACCUGAAGAAUAAGCAUCGGCUAACUCCGUGCCAGCAGCCGCGGUAAGACGGGGGAUGCAAGUGUUAUCCGGAAUCACUGGGCGUAAAGCGUCUGUAGGUGGUCAAAUAAGUCAACUGUUAAAUCUUGAGGCUCAACCUCAAAAUCGCAGUCGAAACUAUUAGACUAGAGUAUAGUAGGGGUAAAGGGAAUUUCCAGUGGAGCGGUGAAAUGCGUAGAGAUUGGAAAGAACACCGAUGGCGAAGGCACUUUACUGGGCUAUUACUAACACUCAGAGACGAAAGCUAGGGUAGCAAAUGGGAUUAGAUACCCCAGUAGUCCUAGCCGUAAACAAUGGAUACUAGAUGU
rnacentral:rRNA from 1 species